rnacentral:rRNA from 1 species
GCAAGUCGAACGGCAGCACGGACUUCGGUCUGGUGGCGAGUGGCGAACGGGUGAGUAAUGUAUCGGAACGUACCUUUCAGUGGGGGAUAACGUAGCGAAAGUUACGCUAAUACCGCAUAUUCUGUGAGCAGGAAAGCAGGGGAUCGCAAGACCUUGCGCUGAUUGAGCGGCCGAUAUCAGAUUAGCUAGUUGGUGGGGUAAAAGGCCUACCAAGGCUACGAUCUGUAGCGGGUCUGAGAGGAUGAUCCGCCACACUGGAACUGAGACACGGUCCAGACUCCUACGGGAGGCAGCAGUGGGGAAUUUUGGACAAUGGGGGCAACCCCUGAUCCAGCCAUGCCGCGUGAGUGAAGAAGGCCUUCGGGUUGUAAAGCUCUUUCGGCCGGGAAGAAAUCGCAUAGGCUAAUACCCUGUGUGGAUGACGGUACCGGAAUAAGAAGCACCGGCUAACUACGUGCCAGCAGCCGCGGUAAUACGUAGGGUGCGAGCGUUAAUCGGAAUUACUGGGCG